rnacentral:rRNA from 1 species
GACGUAGGUGGCGAACGUUAUCCGGAAUUAUUGGGCGUAAAGGGUGCGUAGAUGGUUUAGUAAGUUAUUGGUGGUAAAUCGAGGCCCAACCUCGUGGAAGCUGGUAAUACUACUAUACUUGAGUACAGGAGAGGUUAACGGAAUGGUUCAUGUAGGGGUAAAAUCCGUAGAUAUGAAUUAGAACACCAAUAACGGCGAAGGCAGUUAACUAUUCUGUUACUGACAUUGAGGCACGAAAGCGUGGGGAGCAAAAAGG